rnacentral:rRNA from 1 species
GCAAGUCGAACGAACCCUUCGGGGUGAGUGGCGCACGGGUGCGUAACGCGUGGGAAUAUACCCCUGGGUGCGGAAUAACGUAGAGAAAUUUACGCUAAUACCGCAUAAUAACUUCGGUUCAAAGAUUUAUCGCCGAGGGAUUAGCCCGCGUUAGAUUAGAUAGUUGGUGAGGUAAUGGCUCACCAAGUCGACGAUCUAUAGCUGGUCUGAGACACGGACC